rnacentral:misc_RNA from 1 species
CACCAGGGUUAGCCGCAUGACUGGCGGGUGUGCAAAUGAGCCAAACUGCACAUUUUCUAUCUGCCAUAUGACGACUAAGUGAUCCUCCAGGAGGAGACACCGCAGCGAUAUAGCGCCACUACUAUAAAAAUUACUUUCUUCUGAGUUACGCUUAUGCGUGCAUUGCCAACGCACGUUCACUACGAAAGAUGAAUCUACCUGCAGUUAUUUUGGUCCUUUUGUUAUGCAUCACAUUUUCGGGAAGCCAGAAAGCAUCGAAACCUCAAAGUAACAAGAAGUGCAAACGGGAGGUGUACCCCAAGUCUUGGACUGAAGGUGCGGGAUUCGGCGGCCUCAAAACACAAGCGAGCGCUUUUACACCCGCCGAAGAGGUCCUUGGCCUAAGUGUUGUUAUUGGAAUGGAGACUGCAAGAAUAAUACUAAGCCAUAGUGACCCAUAUACCUAACGUUAUUGCUGUGUGUUUCAACCUGCGCUUACACACACACAUUUUACUGCACUGGGCAAUUCUUUGGGCUGCGCGCAUAUACACUGUAAUAAUAAAAAGCCAAUUCUGAUGCAUAAUACGUUGUUCAGAAUACA